AAGCAAGAUUUAAGAUAUUAGUUAAUUUUAAAUCUUAAAUAGAGCUUCUAAGAUACCAUAGAUAUUAAAGAAUGGACAGGCUAUUGCUUCUUGCUAUAUUAAUCAAAUAGAGGGAAGUGUGCCGGAAUGGGGAAGAGACUGACGAAAGAAAGACAGAUUUUAUCAACGCCUCUUAUUCUAGGCAGAGGUUUUCAUGAAUUAUAUUUUGUGAUUAUCUUUGUAUUAGGAUCACUAUAAUCACAAAAUAUUUUGUUAUUCGUUCCCGUAUGAUAAGCACAAAUAGUUUAUCCAUUCUUUAAUAUUUAUGUAAGAUACUAAGUUUUAGUAAUUAACUGAUAUUAACAAAUCUAAUCUGUGGCAGAUACAUAAAUACUUAAUAAUUAUUUAAUUAUAAUUAUGCUUAAUUAUUUCAUAUACUUAGUUCAAAUGCCAUUACUAUUGAGUCACUUUCGCAAGCUGACCGCGCGGCACCUGCGAUGUGCAGGAAUACAAUUUAAGGUUAGUGAUGGUAGGAUAGUAAAUUGAAAACACAAUGCUGGUGGGGUUAUAAUGAAAUAUUAUAUUUAUGUUAAAAAACGACACUUUUAUAUACAUACACGAUGUCAGGGGGGUAUGAUCAUACCUAAUAAAAUGACAAAAAAGUAUAUUCUAAUAGUAAUAAAACUGUGUGACACAAGGUGUCGACCACAUACAAUUUAAUAAUGAAAAGAAAAUGAAACAACAAUCUUAUCUGGUGGUGAAACAAUUGAUAAGCUCUCGACUGACAACAGUCGCGGGCAGCUGAUACUUGCUGCGGCGGCCGCUGGCGCUGCUACCAACUCCAUGAUUAUACGGACGGCGUUCUCGGAGGGAAAGGUUGGCAUUCCUGAUGUCGGCUGCACGAACAGACACCAGGCUAACCUAACGUAACGUCCAGCGUGCACACGAGCACGGAUGAAAUGUAACAAAACCACGUGUUUCGUGGACCCCGAAUCGGACGUGUCCCGAUAAAGGCGGAUGGGUGAUCUUCGGCGGACUACAACACACUCCAACAACGGCACUAUGGUGCGAUACACGAAACAAACACGAAGUAAAUAAUCAGCAAAAGUGGCAUUACGGAGUGGCGCACAGGACGAACGUUGUCGUACAGGAUGCGGUCACAAACAAAAAACAUGGCGCGCUGACACAAACGAGUCACGACCGGGCUCGCAAACAAA